rnacentral:rRNA from 1 species
UGGUGGAGUGAUUUGUCAGGUUAAUUCCCUAAACGAACGAGAUCUUCACUUGCUAACUAGUCGUGGUUAAUUUCUAGCCAUUGACUUCUUAGAAGGACUACGAUUUCUAAAGUCGUGGAAGUUGAAGGCAAUAACA